UUUGUAUAUUUAAGUAGUAUUAGUUAUGAUCUUGAAAUUUAAAAAAUUUGGCGGUAUUUUAGUCUAUUCAGAGGAACCUGUUUUGUAAUUGAUAAUCCACGAUGAAUCUUACUUAAUUUUGUUUAGAUCAGCCUAUAUAUCGUUGUUUAUAGAAUAUUUUGUGAAAAUAAUAAUUUUCUUAAUUUUUUUAAAAAAAUUAUAUCAAAUCAAGAUGUAGCUUAUAUUUAAGUUUAUAAUGGGUUACAAUUUUUAUAUUAAUGAAUGUAAAUAUGUAAAUAUAUACUGAAAUUGGAUUUGAUAGUAAAUUUAUAUAGAUAAAUAAAUUGAUUUUAGCUCUAAAAUAUG
rnacentral:rRNA from 1 species